CAGUCGCCGCGGUAAAACGGAGGGUGCAAGCGUUAAUCGGAAUUACUGGGCGUAAAGCGCACGCAGGCGGUCUGACAAGUCAGAUGUGAAAUCCCCGGGCUUAACCUGGGAACUGCAUUUGAAACUGUCAGACUGGAGUCUUGUAGAGGGGGGUAGAAUUCCAGGUGUAGCGGUGAAAUGCGUAGAGAUCUGGAGGAAUACCGGUGGCGAAGGCGGCCCCCUGGACAAAGACUGACGCUCAGGUGCGAAAGCGUGGGGAGCAAACAGGAUUAGAGACCCGCGUAGUCCCUGUCUCUUAUAC
rnacentral:rRNA from 1 species